GAGCAGAGAUCCAGCUGAGCCAGCCACGUGGGGCUACCCGCAGCCCAGAUUUACUCCUCCUCCGGUUCUGCCGCGGCCCCUCGGCUACCCCGCCACGGUGGCUGCAGUAGGAGCCUCUGACACUGAAGCCAAACAGGGAGCAAUACCCAGCGGCGGCUCUGGAGCUGCAACCAUCAUCCUUCCAGCUGAGGAAAUUCCUGUGGAGCCAAGCUUCUCAAUAUUGUUCCUUAUCAACCGGAAAGGUCUCUGCUGAAUCACACAGUCUCCAACAGAAGGUGUUACAUCCUGCCCAGCCUGGAAGGCCAGUCGACAGCAGAUGGACUGGAGUGGAACAUUAAAGACGAAAUGUUGUUUAUUCUCCCCUCACCACCAUGAAGAUGAGUUUUGCAAGUGAAUUCCUUUCAUUGGCUGAGUUUGCAGCUCAAAGCAGAAGAGGGGAAAGGACUCAAAAACCCCUUAUAAGGAGGAACUGUAUCUUUUUGUUACUUGGACUCGGGGAGAUGGGGGGAGAGGGCAGGAA